UCUCACCUGACUUUCAUAUUUAGAGGAAAAAGUGGUGUUUGGAGCUAAAUUUAUUUUGUGUUAUUAAUGUCAAUCAGGCAUAUGAAUUUUGUCUAUGUACUCAUAACCUGUAAUUUUAUAUGUUCCUCCAGUCAUUGAUGAUUUGGUACGUACACAAAGGCUUUGGGAUAUGAAAAACAAAGAGGUGAAAAUUUUCUAUAUGUGGAAUUCGCAAGGACUUCACAAUCGACGCAACUUUCAAGGGGAAUGCGUCUUGUUUCUUGAAUCAUAGUUGUGAUCCAAACUGCAAAUUGGAGAAAUGCAUAAAGCUCCUUACAUAGAGGAACUUGAAUAACAUAUGCAACAACUCCACAAAAAACGUGCUUUGGUCGUCUUUGAAAGGUGAGCUGCUGAUGAUGACGAGGAGAUGGCAGAAGUACAAGCAGCUGUAUGAAGCUAUGUCAGUUUUGGGAAGAGGUGGUGGCAAUGCUCCUAUAAUUACCACCGCCACUAGUGCAGCUCAGGCAGCAGCUGCUACCAUCAAGCAACAAAAAGUUGUCCUGUGAAGCUUCAUUAAUUUGGUAGAGAUAAAAAUCUUCAGAAACUUAUGGAUAUGGCUAGGAGGUCUGAUGCUAGACAACGUAAAAGAUCUCCUUUGGAUGCUAAGAGAAUGUCGUAUGUUGGAAAUGACUACUCCUAUCCGAGGAUGGAAGGUGAAUCUAGCACUAAUGAGAGUGAAGCUUAUGAGUGAAAUUGUGAUUUGUUACUUCAGACAGCUGUAGAAUUCUUCAGCGAUGCAGCUGAGGAACCAGUCUAGGUGCUCUAUUUUUUUUAUAACUUAGUUGAAUUUUUGGAAUCUUCUAACGUUAUAUUGAUAUGUAUAUGAUUUUGUAGUGAAUGAUAUUGAAUGAAAGGUAUUGAAAUUAUAAAGUCA